rnacentral:rRNA from 1 species
GAUGAACGCUGACAGAAUGCUUAACACAUGCAAGUCGAUGGGGAAGUGGUGCUUGCACCAUGGUAACCAUGGCGGACGGGUGAGUAACGCGUAAGGAACUUGCCUGCGGGACUGGGAUAACAGCAGGAAACUGCUGAUAAUACCGGAUAAGGUCAUUAAGCUGCAUAGCUUAGUGAUGAAAGGAGACGCCUGCGGAGAGCCCUGCGUCCUAUUAGCUAGUUGGAGGGGUAACGGCCCACCAAGGCGAAGAUAGGUAGCCGGCCUGAGAGGGUGGACGGCCACAAGGGGACUGAGAUACGGCCCUUACUCCUACGGGAGGCAGCAGUGGGGAAUAUUGGACAAUGGGGGCAACCCUGAUCCAGCAAUUCUGUGUGCACGAAGACGGUUUUCGGAUUGUAAAGUGCUUUCAGCAGGGAAGAAGGAAGUGACGGUACCUGCAGAAGAAGCGACGGCUAAAUACGUG